rnacentral:rRNA from 1 species
AGUCAAUAGAUACCCGGGUAGUCCACGCCGUAAACGAUGAGUACUAGGUGUAGGAGGUAUCGACUCCUUCUGUGCCGCAGUUAAACACAGUAAGUACUCCGCCUGGGAAGUACGGUCGCAAGAUUAAAAACUCAAAGGAAUUGACGGGGGCCCGCACAAGCAGCGGAGCAUGUGGUUUAAUUCGAAGCAACGCGAAGAACCUUACCUAGACUUGACAUCUCCUGAAUAGCGCAGAGAUGCGUGAAGCCCUUCGGGGCAGGAAGACAGGUGGUGCAUGGUUGUCGUCAGCUCGUGUCGUGAGAUGUUGGGUUAAGUCCCGCAACGAGCGCAACCCCUAUUAUUAGUUGCUACCAUUAAGUUGAGCACUCUAAUGAGACUGCCCGGGUUAACCGGGAGGAAGGCGGGGAUGACGUCAAAUCAUCAUGCCCCUUAUGUCUAGGGCUACACACGUGCUACAAUGGUGAGAACAACGAGAUGCAAUACCGCGAGGUGGAGCAAAACUUGAAAACUCAUCUCAGUUCGGAUUGUAGG